GGGAGCGGCGAACGGCGUAGGAAUUCAUAGGAACGUACCCUCAGGUCGGGGAUAGCUACGGGAAACUGUAGGUAAUACCCGAUGAUCUCUGCGGAGCAAAGGUGUGAUUCCGCCUGAGGAGCGGCUUAUGCGAUAUUAGCUAGUUGGUGGGGUAAUGGCCUACCAAGGCGAAGAUGUCUAGGGGGUGUGAGAGCAUGGCCCCCACGACCGGAACUGAGAUACUGUCCGGACACCUACGGGUGGCUGCAGUCGAGAAUCUUCCGCAAUGGACGAAAGUCUGACGGAGCGACGCCGCGUGCGGGAUGAAGGCCCUUGGGUUGUAAACCGCUUUCGGAGGGGAUGAAAUCCUCGAGGGUACUCCCUCGAGGUUGACAGAGCCUCAAAAGAAGCACGGGCUAAGUACGUGCCAGCAGCCGCGGUAACACGUACUGUGCGAACGUUAUUCGGAAUCACUGGGCUUAAAGGGUGCGUAGGCGGCGAUUCAAGUCAGAUGUGAAAUGCCUGAGCUCAACUGAGGCAUUGCGUUUGAAACUGAUUUGCUAGAGUAUUUCAAGGGUGUGCGGAACUGCCAGUGGAGCGGUGAAAUGUGU
rnacentral:rRNA from 1 species